UAGGCCUACUUUUUAAUAGUUAUUGUAUUGUGUUUUAGAAAAGGUACAGUGAAAAUUAUGGAAUCAGCUGGGUUUA
ensembl:miRNA